rnacentral:lncRNA from 14 species
AAGACCAGAACAACCAUAUUCACUUGUGCUUUGUGCAUCUUCCUACUUGAAGAUAACUCGUACAUCUUAAAACAAGAGACUCUGCGUUUCAACAGUUAUGCUGGACCAACGUUCAUGUAGCCUAAUUUGGAGGAUAUCUAGAAAACCUGGUUUAUGCUUAUGCAGUGUUAUCAAAGCAUUCUUGUAAAUGUUUAAGAGUUGCAGGUAGAGGAAAAGGUUUUUAAACCAUCCCUGAAAGUGAGAUGAGCAGUUUGAUCAUGAUUGUUGGUUAAAUGGUAAUUUCACCAUUAGGCCUGUGGGUAUAGUGCAUUUUUGGUUUUCAUUUUUGUUACCUGUGUUGUCAUCCAUAGUGUGAUGUUGGAGAAUAUCAAAGAAAUAACAUUAUUUUAGGAUUACAUUCCCACUAAUAACUAGACAUCACAGAAGCAGCAAUGGGUAAAAAUUUUGGCUUCACACACACCUGUAGAAAUGAAGGUUGAAGGGCUGGAAAAAUUGCAUUUAAUCACAGAUUCAUAGUUCUCUAAGAUUUAUUGGAAUGUGUGCCAAUAAUGGAAGAUGUAAAUAAUGGUGCCUUAUAAUUCAAAUGCUUGUCUUUACCUCAUUUCCAGUGUUUAAAUAUGUAUACGUUAACUCUGAGCUCCUUCAAAAGGGGAAACAUUCUCAUAUUUGAUACCUUGCAGGUCCUGCUGGAAGUCUUUUCCUAAGAUGUGCUACUUAGAAAUAAGAUCACUUAUACUGAUCUUCAUAGUUAGUGCAGAAUUCUACCCUAUCUUCUAGCCAUGAUCUCCAAAAGUUGGAUGAAGACUGCUGAAUGUGGUGCUGUAGGAAGUGUGCCCAGCUGCUGAGUGUUCUGGAAUGUCUGAACAUUUAAUUAGUGCAGUGAUUAAAUGUGGAACAGACUCAAAUGCUAAAUCCAAAGCAUAUUUUGCACCUGUACUUCCAGUCACUGGCUGAAGCUUUUUAUGGUCAUGGAUUUUGUCUUGACCUCACAUGCAGAGGAACAGCACCAAGCUUGCACCUCUUUGCACUAUUCUCAAUUAAGAAAGAAGUGAUUGCUGCAGUAAGACUUUAA